rnacentral:rRNA from 1 species
UGAACCUGCGGAAGGAUCAAUCAUAAUAUUCAGUUACAAACUAAGCCUGUGUUUUGAUAGAACUAUGAUAACACAUAUUAUGCAAAGCAAGUCUUCGGACGCGCUGAGCUAAACAUAAAAGAAUUUAAAUUCUCAACGGUGGAUGUCUUGGCUCUCAUAUCGAUGAAGAACGCAGCAAAGUGCGAUAAGCAAUGCGAAUUGCAGACCGUGAGUCAUCAGAAUUUCGAAUGCAACUUGCACCUCCGCCUGGCGAGAGGUAUAUUUGCUUCAGUGUAUCACAUCAUUAUCCUCAAUUAUCUCCCUAAUCGUUAACAGGUUAUGGGAAUACCAAAUCAUAAAGCGGGUGAGCACUUGUGCUCUGUUCGCAAAGUUUGAAAGUAGCUGCGAGUAAUCGCAGUCAUUACUAACAACCACUCCGAUCACCUUGUGUGAAUGCUGUUAACUCAGUAGGUGUAUGUUUAGUAAGUGAGUCUAGUUUUAAUUAGAUUCGACAACACACUGGAUUUGAUCUGAAGUCAAGUAAGAGCACGCGCUGAACUUAAGCAUAUCACUAAGCGCAGGGGAAAUUAGAUUUUAACAAAAGAAAAUAACAAUGAUUGCCUCAGUAACGGCGAGUGAACCGGCAAGAGCCCAAGGUGAAAAUCCCUGCUCGUUAGAGUUAGGGAAUUGUAAUCUAGAGGGUGCCCACUGACCAGCUCUCUGAAGCCCAAGUGUCCUGGAAUGGACCGCCAUGGAGGGUGAAAGCCCCGUACGGAGUCGGAGAUAAGCUAGGUGGCGCCCAAAGAGUCGAGUUGUUUGGGACUGCAGCUCAAAGUGGGAGGUAGACUUCUUCUAAGGCUAUUUUUAACUAUGAGAGACCGAUAGCGAACAAGUAAUGUGAAUGAAAGAUGAAAUUAUAUUAUAUCUACAGAAGAACCUUGAAUAAACAGGGAAUUAAACAGACCUGAAACCGUUGAGGCGGAAGCGAUAGAAAAGUUGCAUUUUUGGCUUGGAGCGGGUUUAGGGGCGAUCUGUCUGUCGGGCGUAGGCAACCGUAAGGGGCCUUGUUCGAUUGGCGUAGCCGCUGAUUUGCUCCCUGUCAAAGCGCAAGAUGGGCUUCGCUCGCGUCAUAUCGACUGGCGGGCCAGAGCUUCGGCAUCACUCGCUGAAUCGCUGGCGCGGGCGGGGUCGAGGGACUUCGUGUGAUCUUUGCUGAUUAUUCGACACCUUUUAUAUCGA